CAGCCGCCACGGGAAUACGUAGGGUGCGAGCGUUAAUCGGAAUUACUGGGCGUAAAGCGUGCGCAGGCGGUUUUGUAAGACAGGCGUGAAAUCCCCGGGCUCAACCUGGGAAUGGCGCUUGUGACUGCAAAGCUAGAGUGCGGCAGAGGGGGAUGGAAUUCCGCGUGUAGCAGUGAAAUGCGUAGAUAUGCGGAGGAACACCGAUGGCGAAGGCAAUCCCCUGGGCCUGCACUGACGCUCAUGCACGAAAGCGUGGGGAGCAAACAGGAUUAGAUACCCGCGUAGUCCCUGUCUCUUAUAC
rnacentral:rRNA from 1 species